rnacentral:rRNA from 1 species
CCUACGUGGAGCAGCCGUGGGGAAUAUUGCGCAAUGGGCGAAAGCCUGACGCAGCGACGCCGCGUGAGGGAUGAAGGUCUUCGGAUCGUAAACCUCUGUCAGCAGGGAAGAACGGUCACUGUGCUAAUCGGCAGUGAAUUGACGGUACCUGCAAAGGAAGCACCGGCUAACUCCGUGCCAGCAGCCGCGGUAAUACGGAGGGUGGGAGCGUUAAUCGGAAUUACUGGGCGUAAAGCGCUCGUAGGCGGUAUGUCAAGUCAAGGGUGAAAUCCCCGCGCUCAACGUGGGAACUGCCUUUGAAACGGGCAAACUGGAGUGUGUGAGAGGAUAGUGUAAUUCCAGGUGUAGGAGUGAAAUCCGUAGAUAUCUGGAGGAACAUCAGUGGCGAAGGCGACUAUCUGGCACAUAACUGACGCUGAGGAGCGAAAGCGUGGGUAGCAAACAGGAUUAGAUACCCCAGUAGUC